rnacentral:pre_miRNA from 1 species
UAUAUGAUUGCUGGGUCAUGUGCUAAGAGUAUGCUUAGUUUUGUAAGAAAUUGCCAAACUGCUUUCCCAAGUGGCUGUCCUGUUUUGUAUCUCCAGUAGCAAU